AUGAUAUUUAACAAGUACGAACUGAGCAAACUAGUUGGUUGCAAACACUUAUCAAAAUCUGAACCUUACAAGUACUACACAUCUCCUAUUACAGAAAAUUCAGAAAGAGAGAUAAGCAGCGUCAAGAUAGAAGAAGAAGAGAAGCAGCAGGAGAUUGAGGAAGGAGCAGCAGCAGGUUCGUGGGGGAAGGAGGAGCAGCAAAAGUUCGGAGAAGAGACAAGGAGCACCAAGGUAGGCGAAGGGAGCAGGAAGUCGCAAGAAGAAGCAGCAGCAACAUGGGGAUGGAGAGAGAAGAAGGAGGAGCAGGGGCGCAACAAGAAGGGAGCAGCAGCGGGGCUUGGAGAAGAAGCAGUAGAAGCAGCAGCAAGACGAGGGAAGAAGGAGCAGCAGCAAGGAACCUCUCGCGCGGAGGUGCUUAGUGGUGCGGUGGUGAUGGUGGCGCGGUGA
rnacentral:rRNA from 1 species